UACGUAGGGUGCGAGCGUUUGUCCGGAAUUAUUGGGCGUAAAGGGCUCGUAGGCGGUUUGUCGCGUCGGGGAGUGAAAACCCAGGGCUUAACCCUGGGCUGGCUUCCGAUACGGGCAGACUAGAGGUAUGCAGGGGAGAACGGAAUUCCUGGUGUAGCGGUGAAAUGCGCAGAUAUCAGGAGGAACACCGGUGGCGAAGGCGGUUCUCUGGGCAUUACCUGACGCUGGAGACGCGAAAGCUAGGGGAGCAAACAGG
rnacentral:rRNA from 1 species